rnacentral:rRNA from 1 species
GCCGGGGAAUGCCUACGGGGAGGCAGCAGUAGGGAAUGCUUCCGCAAUGGACGAAAGUCUGACGGAGCAACGCCGCGUGAGCGAAGAAGGCCUUCGGGUCGUAAAGCUCUGUUGUUAGGGAAGAACAAGUAACGCAGUAACUGGCGUUACCUUGACGGUACCUAACGAGAAAGCCACGGCUAACUACGUGCCAGCAGCCGCGGUAAUACGUAGGUGGCAAGCGUUGUCCGGAAUUAUUGGGCGUAAAGCGCGCGCAGGCGGUUCCUUAAGUCUGAUGUGAAAGCCCACGGCUCAACCGUGGAGGGUCAUUGGAAACUGGGGGACUUGAGUGCAGAAGAGGAGAGCGGAAUUCCACGUGUAGCGGUGAAAUGCGUAGAGAUGUGGAGGAACACCAGUGGCGAAGGCGGCUCUCUGGUCUGUAACUGACGCUGAGGCGCGAAAGCGUGGGGAGCAAACAGGAUUAGAUACCCUGGUAGUCCACGCCGUAAACGAUGAGUGCUAAGUGUUAGAGGGUAUCCACCCUUUAGUGCUGUAGCUAACGCAUUAAGCACUCCGCCUGGGGAGUACGCUCGCAAGAGUGAAACUCAAAGGGAAUUGACGGGAAUCACUA